rnacentral:misc_RNA from 1 species
GAAAUGCGAAAAGUAAUGUGAAUUGCAGAAUUCAGUGAAUCAUCGAAUCUUUGAACGCACAUUGCGCCCGCCAGUAUUCUGGCGGGCAUGCCUGUCUGAGCGUCAUUUCAACCCUCAUGCCCCUAGGGCGUGGUGUUGGGGAUCGGCCAGCGCCCGCGAGGGACGGCCGGCCCCUAAAUCUAGUGGCGGACCCGUCGUGGCCUCCCCUGCGAAGUAGUGAUAUUCCGCAUAGGAGGGCGACGAGCCCCUGCCGUUAAACCCCCAACUUUCUAAGGUUGACCUCAGAUCAGGUAGGAAUACCCGCUGAACUUAAGC